rnacentral:pre_miRNA from 1 species
UUUAUUUGACACCGUUGACUUUUUAAGCACAUGUUUGACCGCUCGUCUUAUUUAAAAAAUUUAAAUAAUUAUUAAUUAUUUUCCUAUAAUUUGAUUCAUUGUUAAAUAUACUUUUUGCAUACGUAUAGUUUUACAUAUUUCACAAAAAUUUUUGAAUAAGACGAAUGGUCAAACAUGUGCUAAAAAGUCAACGGUGUCAAAUAAA